rnacentral:lncRNA from 1 species
CAGGGAGAAAGGGUGCUUUUAGAACCGAGCUGUUCAGGGUCCCAGAUCCUCUAAUGUAAUGCCAGCUGAACCCAGACAGUGACUUCCACCUCCAUGAAUGCAGGACUGGGGAAGUGUUAGAGGAAGAUUACGACAUUGCUACUCCAUGCCAAAACGUUACACUACGGCUCUGCAGACUGAAGAUUGCCUCACAAGCAGAAAU